GUGAUAACAACACGGUGCGUCACUGGGAAAAACCCAAGCGUCAUACAGAUAUUUUUCACUAUAAAUGGUUGGUUAUUUCUUUCUCUGAUAAUAGUAACGUGCUAUAUAGACGCGAUAUAUAUUUCUGUUAUUUUGUAUAGUUUGUGUUUUCAUUUAUAUUCUUAAGGUGUUUACAUGUGUGCAAAAAUGAAUACUAGUCAAGUCAAUUCUGAAUCCUAUAACGAUUUGGAAUCUAGGACGUUUGAUGAUAAACGAUACGAUUCUGCCGAAAUAGGAAGAAAUCUUCAAAUUACUGCUGCUACAUGUACAAUAAUGGCCGAAAAGUUAAUGAAGAAGAAGAAUUCUGUUAAAAGAAGUCGUAAAGUAAGUUUCAAGUUUUAAAUUUUCGUAGUUAAUUAUGAAAAAAAAAAAAAAAAUUAAAUACGUAAUAGUUAAUUAAUUUAAACCAAUAACAAACGAC
rnacentral:lncRNA from 1 species